rnacentral:rRNA from 1 species
AUUGACCGCUGGCGGCAGGCCUAACACAUGCAAGUCGAGCGGAGCGGCAGCCGGGUGAGUAAUGCCUAGGAAUCUGCCUGGUAGUGGGGGAUAACGUCCGGAAACGGGCGCUAAUACCGCAUAAUAUCAGAUUAUCCUAGGUCGGAUUAGCUAGUUGGUGGGGUAACGGCCUACCAAGGCUCCGAUCCGUAACUGGUCUGAGAGGAUGAUCAGUCACAUGUGAACUGAGACACGGUCCAGACUCCUAAGGGAGGCAGCAGUGGGGAAUAGUGGACAAUGGGCGAAAGCCUGAUCCAGCCAUGCCGCGGGUGUGAAGAAGGUCUUCGGAUUGUAAAGCACUUUAAGUUGGGAGGCGUUACCAACAGAAUAAGCACCGGCUAACUUCGUGCCAGCAGCCGCGGUAAUUC